rnacentral:rRNA from 1 species
CUGACGGUAGUCGUAUGCUCGUCUCCGAGACAAGCCAUGCAAGUCCAAGUACACGUCCUUGAACGACGGAAACUGCGAACGGCUCAUUAAAUCAGUUGCGAUCUACUCGGCGUUCCGCGCCGCCGGAUAACCGUAGUAAUUCUAGGGCUAAUACGUGCGAAGCGCCCGAAGCCGCGAGGCGACGGGCGUUCUCGCCGGAUGUAGGAACCGACCCGGGGACCGCCGGGGCAACCCGGCGCCCCCGAGACGGGGCGAACCACGGUGAAAUGACGGAUCGUCGGCCCCGCGCCGGCGACUCGCCGAAUGAGUUUCUGACCUAUCAACUCGAGACGGCGGGGUAGAGGCCCGCCGCGGUAACGACGGGGUAACGGGGAAUCAGGGUUCGAUUCCGGAGAGGGGAGCCCGAGAAACGGCUACCACUUCCAAGGAAGGCAGCAGGCGCGCAACUUACCCUAAUCUCGAUUCGAGGAGGUAGUGACAAGAAAUACCGAUGCGGGA